rnacentral:misc_RNA from 1 species
AUAUAUCAACCUCUUUGGUCUUUUGCUAGUUGAGUGUUGGAUGUGGGGAUCUUUUUUUGCUGGCUCUUUUUUUAAAAAAAGAAAAGGUCAGCUCCCCUAAAAUGCAUUAGCGGAACAUUUGUUGACCCGUUUCAUUGGUGUGAUAAACUAUCUACGCUAUUGACGUGUGAGACAGUUCAGCUUCUAACAGUCCAUUGACUUGGACAAUUUUCAUUAAU